rnacentral:rRNA from 1 species
UACGAAGGGGGCUAGCGUUGCUCGGAAUCACUGGGCGUAAAGCGCACGUAGGCGGCUUUUUAAGUCAGAGGUGAAAUCCUGGAGCUCAACUCCAGAACUGCCUUUGAUACUGGAGAGCUUGAGUCCGGGAGAGGUGAGUGGAACUGCGAGUGUAGAGGUGAAAUUCGUAGAUAUUCGCAAGAACACCAGUGGCGAAGGCGGCUCACUGGCCCGGUACUGGACGCUGAGGUGCGAAAGCGUUGGG